AUGAUCUCAGUGUCAACAGAGAGAUUAACGGGCAGUGCUUGGACAGUGCUGUCUCACAGAUCUCUCCCUAAUGGCACCAGGUGGCCAGAAAUCUUUUCUUUCUACUGCUAUAAAGGAGCUGAAACUCUGCUAGAAGAAAAUAAUGGGUAUUAAUUUGGGGAAGAGUGGUGGUUUGGAUGGAAAUAAAAUUGCUGUGCUUGACAACAUGCUGGAAUAAUAAGGUAAAGCAGUGAAUUACUUAAAGCAUUGCUGAAGGGGAGGGCUGUAAGGUGGGGUGAAGCAUGCCAUCAUCUGUUUAGCAACCGAUAAUGCAAACUGCAGAAAGAAAGAGAAGAGGAGAGGAAAAUAAAUUAACUUUUGAAAACGCUGUUGAGGUAAUGGGGAGGUAAUGGUUUUCCUGACAUUUGCUGUAAGAAUGUGGUUGUUAAUCCCACAGCCCUGGAGGGACGCCAGGUCAGUAGGUGCCACCUGCCAGCUGAGGGGACGGGGUGGGCCAGGGAUUGGGAGCUGAAGGCUGAGUUUAGUGAGAUGGAGAGCGGCGCUGGAUGGACUGCACAUCUGGAUAGGAAGAGUCCAGCAGUGGCUCCCCCACUUGGUAAAUUUUACAUGGAAAUCCAAUCAGUUUCACAUUGCUGUACAGCAGACUGAUGUAUCAUUUCAGGUCUGGGUAUGAUUAAUUAAAAAGAAACGUGGCUCCUGAAAGCUGCAUUUCAUAUCUGCCCUCAUCUGCCUCACGCCUGUUCCAAGCCCUGUGCAUGCUUUGAGAAAUUGUAAGUCAAUGAAAGUGAGUGUGUUGCAGAAUUUCAGUGUGCUGGAGGCAAACUAAAAGGCUGUGAUGUUCAUGAGCAGAUGUAAACAUCAAGAGAGAUUCAUUCUGAAACAGUGUUGGUGUUCCCUGGUGCUCCCUGCGCCAAUAGAGCUGAUGGACAAGCACAUAACCUGCCAGUGUACACCGUGUGCUGCUGGACUGAUGCUGUCCCAUAGUGCAGAUGCAUAUUGUGCUCUCUGAAUGUACUGUGAUGCUAUCGGAAACUCCAGCCCACACAGCAAAGGCGAUACAUGCCAAUGAGCCAAUGACUGCUCUCUGGCUGCCUGUGCUGUAUUGCAGCUCAUUAUUUCCCAGUGUUUGAUUGUGAAGUCUAGGAGGCUGGGCAAAACUUCCCUGGGAAGAGGUGACCUAAAAACUGAGUGUGGGGUUGCUGUUAUUAAUUCUCCUUUACAACGUCUGGCAUCAGUUGCUGGAGGCAGGUGGCUCAGGUGGAUUCUUACUGGAAAUCACCGUCUGCCCUGUGAGACUGGGUGCUUAAUGUGAUGCUAGCCAGAGAUGUGGGCUACAUCCAAGUGUGUGCAGGAUACACUCAUGGUUUCCCCACAGAUUGAUCAGAAGGAAAACUGCAAGGAGACAAAUCUCUUCUGGGGUGAGCUUCUCUUUGUUUUUGUAGGGAACCGACUGAAAUGUUCCUAUUAAGCAAGCAUCCAUUGCCUGCAAAACCACAGGGUGUUGUGAAAUUGUGAGCUCAAGGACGUCAGUAAGAGGACUCCAGUGUGGCUGAAUCAAAAUAAAUGCGGUUUUCCUAUUUUUCAGGCUUUCCUAUCUCUGGAGAAGAAAUCGCAGAAAUAUGUUAUUCCCAAAGAACUUCUCUGGGAUCUGAGUAGGUUGUGGGGCCAUGAGGGGCCAUGUGCUGCAUGGAAAGGAGCACACAUCUCCAUCCACACUGCAUCUUCCUCCCGUAACCUCAGCUUCAGUGGGAGGCACCAACUGCAUUUGUAUCCAUUGCAUUAGAGGACAGUGGGAAGGAUUAAUGAGGAUUAAAUGAUUAAUUUUGCUGUUUACAGUGGAGUUGCAGUGCUUAUUCCCAGGUGCAAAGGCUCGUGCUGCAUUAGAAAACACUCACCAUCUCCCAAAAUAAAUGCCCUAAUUUGUCUUUUCUUCUUACCGGUCUUUAAGAAAUAAUUACAAACAGAUCUUUUUUUUUUCUGCUUUUCCCUAUUUCCUUGCAAACAAUGGCUUGUCCAAGGACAUCUCCCGACGACAGCUGCUGCUACCUGCAAGGGAAUAUGCAGCAGCCUUCACCCCAGGAUCACCUUGGAAACGGCGGAGCAGCUUUCUGCGAUGUCCAGAGGAGAGCUGGGUGUUGUGCAGGGCAACAAAAAGGGCACUGCUCCAGAGCGCUCUGUCUGCUUGGCCACAGCACCCAGGUGCAGGCAUCCUGGCUUGGGCUGAUUCCUCACAUCCACCCUUGACUCCUCAGCCAUGGGUAUGGUGGGGAUGAGAAACAGGCACUGGGCACUGGGAACAUCCCUGGUGCUGUGAGGCCAACUUCCCCCACUGCAACAUCAAUGGGGAAAUAAGAGAAAACAGGCAUUGGCGUUUCCAUAGUGACUCUCAGGUUGGACUUCUGGAAAAGGAAAAGGUUACAGGAGUUUGGAUGCAUCCAAAGUGUUAAUUUUUAAGAAAACAAUUUUGUUUGUUUGGUUGGUUGGUUUUGUUUUUUUAAGACUUCUUCACUUGUACAGAGAGGUACGGAUGACCUCACAUGCGUUGCGUGGAGCAUUUGGAGACCACUUCUGUGCUGAACUGUAGGACACAGGACCCACAAAGAUGCACUGCCCUUGUACAUGGGCCUCAUGAUGUAAAAGAAUGAGUAGAUUGCUGAUCUUCUUCAUGAGCAAACACAACCAGUUCCUGCCCAGGCCCAUGGCAAUAUGCUCACAUGUCCCCACAAAACCCCCUGUGAUCUCAACAGCUGGCAGCUAUCUGACACUGGGUCCCCAGCAUCACAGACUGCACAGUGCCCUCAGGAAUGCCCACCUCAUAUCUCCUCCGCUUUCCCUCUUCCUUCUACUCUUACCAAUAAUUAUGGCUGAGGGUGUGUCAAAGCCAUCAUUGUUCCAGGUCUCCAAGGACAACACGAGGGAAAUGCUGUGCAAACUCACCAGAGGAGAGAACCAUCGUUUAGUUCAGCCAAGGCAGCUUUUUGACAGACCAACCUGCUCUGUAGAUAAUGAGCCUUUCCAGUCGUCCGUGAUUUAUUGUGAAAACAAAACACUGCAUAACAUACUGGAGAAGCUCAGAAGGAAGACCUGCAGAGUGUUUGUAUUUCCAUGGUAUAGAAGGGAGCUUGAGGCCAAUGAGGUUACAUAAAUGCUCAGAGUCAGUGGGGAACUGGGCAAAAGAGAAAACCCAGGCCCUGCACACCCCUGUCUAGAGCAGUAGCAGCAAGUGCUGUCAGGUGGAUAACCUGGGUUACACUGAUUUCUAAAGGAUCUUUUCAACAAAAGUCUUCUGUCAGGAAGCAAAUGUCAGGCAGCCCCCCCUGCUAGCUUCCUAAGCUUUCACACUGCCAAAGAGGAAUUGCUCUCUUUGACAAAGCUUUCAAAUCCAUUCAGGCUGAAUCUGCUUUCCCUUCUGGAUUUCAGUUAUUAACCAUUAUUAUUUAUCUCUGGUGCACCCAACCACCAUAUGUUCUUAAAUAAAGCCACUUUCCACUUCUUCCUUUCGUGCUUUGAGGCAAAUAGAAUUGCUGGAAAUGUAGACACGCAGAAGGCUGCCUCUCCUUUGGCAAGUGCAGGAUUUCUAGGUAAAUCUUCAGCACAGAUUACCUCUCACGCAGCUCUGCUGAAGCGCAUGAUGUACUGUGGAGUGUCUUUAUACACCAUUUACUUGCAGGCAUGUAAUGAAAUAUCCCUUCUUUGUCCCAGCCUGGUUCCAAUUGUGUUACAAAGACAUAAAAGAAUUCUGAUAAUACACCCAUCUCUUAUCUGGCACAACAGCAAGGUCGUAUUUUUGAUUUUGAAUGGGAUGACUAAAGACGCUUCAUUAGCCAAAAGGCAGAGCUGUUAUAUGGCCUGGAGAAGCUGAAAUGGGAUGGAACACUCCUACAGCAUGAAAUAAGCAUUUAUAAACCUAACCCAGCAGUCUGCUUCUUCCAGCUUCAGCUGGCAAGAACUGGCUGCCAUAAUGGGCAUGUUUUAAAAGUGGGAAGAAAAAAAUCUAAUUUUUCAGUUCCUCUUUGCUCAGGUACCAAUAAGCCACCCUAGAACAGGCUGCUCUGAGAGGUCGUGGAGUCUCCUUCUCUAGAGAUACUCAAAUCCCAUCUGGAUGCUUUCCUUUGUUCCCCACUACCUACAGUGGAGAACCUGCCUUGCACAAGGUUGCACUGCAGGAUCUCCAGAGGUCCUGUCCAAUUUCUGUGAUUCUAUGGGGAAAAGUGAGCCUUGGGAACACAAUUUCUGACUACUUAAUGCUGUGUCACUGUCUCAGUUCUGUUCAAAAGCCUUUGGACACCAUUCUGGAGAGAACUGGGACUACAUGAGAGGAAGAUUGGCACAAAAGGCACAAAACUGCUGCUUUUGUGGCCUAGCUUUCCACUAUUUACCAAUGAAAAGUGCAGAAAUCAAUGGAGUGGUGCACCUGAGCACUUGAUGUUGAGACUGCAUUUAUAGGGUCUCUCUCAGUAUUCUCAGUAAUGUUGAGACCACUGAAGCUCAGCAGCUGCAGCCCCGUGCUAACAGUCUGUGCCCAGUAACAGUGCAUGUUAAGAAACCCAGCCCUACUGAAGCUUUUGAUACCGCUGUUGCACUUGACAACUCAGACACUGAAGUGGUGCAGGAAAUGUCUCUUCCAGGCUCGCUAAUGCACAAACUGCCUCCUUGCACUUAGCGAAAUGCCUCUUGCAAGCAUAUACUGUGCAAACACGUCAGUGUUUGUUAACUUGGGGCCUGAGAUGUGCAGCAGCCUCAGCCUAUUCCGACAGCAAGGAAGAUGAUGUUCCACCCCCUGCAGGGUCAGCUCUUAGCCUGUAAAUCAAGCUAUGUUCUCGUUCCUCAUCAAGUAAAUUUCCUUUCUCUGGCAAUUGCAUGCCUUGGAGUGGUGCCAGCCUUAUCUGAAUGUGCCUCAUCCCCUGGGAAAUUUCCUUGGGUAUUUUCUCUCACGGGAAUGGGAAAGCUCGGAAUGAUGAUGCACUGUGUUCAUACAAACACCAUACAACUGUUAACAGCAAACCAUGCACCAAUCCAGGGAAGAGCCCCACCGUGCAGCAGGUGGGAAAUGGUUGGAAUAGCAGUAGCUCUGAGAGGGCCUACAGCCAGAGGUUUCUGGUGCUCAGCAUCUUGUAUCAUAUCAACUGGUGCAGGUUACCCUGAGAGGUGGUGGAUGCGCCAUCCCUGGAGACACCCAAGGUCAGGCUGUACAGGGUUCUGAGCACUUGGUGGAGCUGUAGGUGUCCUCCUUCACUGCAGGACUAGAUGGCCUUCAGAAUCCCUUCCAACUCAAACGACUCUGUGAUUGUAUGAUUCUGUGAUUGUAUUAGCUGCUCAGUGUUUUGAAGAUUAAAAGAUACAGUUAGGAAGUUAGGAAGAAACAUAGAAAUAAGCCAACAAUCCAGGGGCAAGCAAAUAAUCUCAUCAAGCCAACAAAAUAUUUCAGUUGAAGUACAGGCACUCACUGCAGUAAGGAUCUCAGUUUGGACUGGAAUUUCACAGAUGGUUUUUGUAUCUUUGGUCUUGCACCACACAUGAGCCCCAAAUGAUCCAGGCUUUGGGGAACCUUGGAGAAGAUGUUCCGUAUCUCAGCCCUCAAUGAAAUAUGCCACUGUACGAGCAGUGGAAUUUUCCCAUGGGCUUGGAUUCUGCAUCUCCACAUUUCACUCCCAGUUCUCCCAUUCCCCUCUGCCUGGCCAGGAGAGUGGCAGCAACUUCUGUGCUGCAUUGAAGUUACACCUGGGCUGGCUGGCCAGCAGUUCUUUCUUCUUUUUACACACAAGAAACUGAAAGCCGCAUUCCCCUUUGUGAGGCUGCCCUGAGAAUGUGGAAGAUAAUAGCUGCAUAUGCCUGUAGGAUGAUAUAUCUGGGGAAUCUCUAUGUCUGUCAAGCAGAAAUGAAAGCAAUCAUUGGGGUAAAAUUGUUCUUAGCAGGUCACUGAGACAAGGUGACUGCAAAGGUGUUGGUUUUCUUGGAACGCUACGGUGUUAUAGAAGUCAGCUGGACCAGCUUACCUAUUUUUUAGUACUUUAACAAGUAUAUUCUGCAUCCAAGACCUUCACUCUGAACACAGGAUGUGACUACUGAAUAGCAUUGGGUUGUUCAAAUUACCCUUCUGACAGAAGCAAAAGCAGCAGAACUUUGUUUGGAAGCUUUGCCCUAUACUGUCACAUAGCCGAGCAUCACGGUUUGGUGCUAGAUGUCUGCACACUGUCUGGGGUGUGAAGAAGACAGGCUCAUGGGCUUUUGCUGGAGCUCUUUUCUAUGGCUCCACUCAGACUGGGGAUGGAAAUAAGGGCUGGCCCACUGUGGCAGAGCUGGGGAAGGAAGAGGCAGAAAACAAGAACCUGAAACAGCCCAUGACCAUUGGCUUCUGCCAGUCUGAGGUUGGAACAUGUUCCAAGUGCAUAUAGGGUCAUGGGUUUCCUGAAGGCAGCAGCAGGUAUCGCUCCUGGCAUGGCUGUCCCUGCCUGCCUGGCCUCACACCACUGACAGUGCCAUUCCCAUCGGCCAGGCAAUGCCGUGUCCAGCAAAGUCCAAGCUGAAGGAGUUGCUGACGCCUUAACAAGGAGGGUAAUUUUCUUCUCAGCUAAUCUUUUCCAAAGAAUCAUAGAAUGGCUUAGGUUGGAAGGCACCCCAAGUGUCACCAAGUUCCAACACCUUGCCAUAGGCAGGGCCACCAACCUCCAGAUCUGGUACUAGACCAGGCUGCCUGGGGCCCCAUCCAGGACAAUAUGUUCUCUGUUACCACCUCUUUUUAAGGCUAUGCAGAGAGCUUCUGGAGCUGAUUUGGGGAUAUCCUGAUAACAAAUGAAAUGUUAAGAAGACAGUCAGAAAAACUGGCCUUUCCUUGGAAUAAUUCCUAUGAUCACAGCAUCCUAAGGCCUAAGUUCUCCACCUGCUUUUGUCCAACCAGGAUGGAGAAAGAUUAUCUCUGAGACUGCUGCUCAUUCCCUGCUGUCAUGCUGGGAGGACACAGUCCCAUCCACUGUUCCCUCUCUUCCAUCAUCAGAGAAAGGUGGGGAGAGCACAGAAAACCCCUCAUUCACACAUUCUGGGUCCAACUGCUCUAUGAAUGACAAUUAAAAUUCAGGAAUUUAAUCACUCAGAGGCAGCAACAGUUCAGAGAAGAUGCAAAGAGAGACAAGAAAAUUCCAUCCCUUUUCCCUGCUUGAUUUCUCCAGCACAGAUUGGAAACUGGGAUGAUCGAUGCACUCUUGAGCUUCCUCAUAUUAUGGAGAGAUCUACGACCACAACCACAACUCCACUGUAUCACACUGCAGGGAUAAGGAAAAAUAAAUUCUUUGGGACAUUCUGAGGUAACAGAUGAUGGAAGAGCGGUGAGAUAUUAUUUUGUCCCCUGUGGUGAUAGAUUCAAAAGCCAAAGAAGCAGAAAGAUAAACUGUAAGAAAGGUUCACCAGCUGCACUGUUCAUUCAGAUAAUGUUAAAAAGCUCUGGAUCAAUGAGUGCAAAAGCAGAAUGUGCUUCUCUUGGCAAAACUUGCAAUGAAAUUAGAUGACUACUUUAUGUGGUAAUGGCUGCCAGGAAGGAGGCUCUGAUCUUUCAGCUGUCAUAUUUUUGCUUGAAACUGAUGGAUGUAUUCAACAUCAUCUAACAGGCAAAAAGAAAAGGCAAAAAAGAAGAGGAGCAGGCAACAGGUGAAACAGUGCUGAACAAUUCUGACCCACCAGGGACCAGCACCCAAACCAACCCCAAAGGCUGGCGCUGCUCUUUGGCACUGGCUGCCAGUGCUUCAUUUUAAGGAUUAUUGGCAAUCUGCAAACAAUGGAGGCAGAAGGCAGAGGAAGUGGGCAGCCUCAAAGAUCACAGCUUUCAGAGGCACAGAGAGCCUGGGUACAGGACACAAAGCUGCCAGGACAUGGAGGGCUGGAAACCACGAGCGAAGAAACAGCUGCUUGUGUUUUUCCACCACAUUUGGGCUCUGUGGAUAAAAGAAAUCACACACUGGAAAUAUUCUUUUCACUCCAUCAGCUCACCAGCAAAGCUCUGACUGCAUAGCUUAACACCUGUGCUGAAAGGUGGAAACUGGAUUUUCUUCCAAAACUUCAGCUGGGAUAGUAAACUUCAUCCCUCAUACACAUCAUUAUCAGUGAUAAAAGGAAGGUCAGGGAAGGUGUGUGCCCCCUCUGGAAGCAAAAUGGAGACGUGGUCAUGAGGGAUACGGAGAAAGCUGAGGUGUUCAAUGAUUGGAGCUGCAGGAACGAGUCCAGAGGAGGGCCAUAAAGAUGAUCAGAGGACUGGAGCACCUCCUCUACAAGGACAGGAUGAGAGAGU